rnacentral:rRNA from 1 species
UACGUAGGCAGCGAGCGUUGUUCGGAAUUACUGGGCGUAAAGAGUGUGUAGGCGGAUCGGUAAGUACCUUGUGAAAUCCCACGGCUUAACUGUGGAACUGCUGGGUAUACUGCCAGUCUUGAGCCACUCAGGGGCUACCGGAACAAAUGGUGGAGCGGUGAAAUGCGUAGAUAUCGUAAGGAAGACCAGUGGCGAAGGCGGGUCUCUGGACAGUUCCUGACGCUGAGGCACGAAGGCCAGGGGAGCAAACGGG